GACGAACGCUUGCGGCGUGCUUAACACAUGCAAGUCGAACGGAAAGGCCCUGCUUUUGUGGGGUGCUCGAGUGGCGAACGGGUGAGUAACACGUGAGUAACCUGCCCUUGACUUUGGGAUAACUUCAGGAAACUGGGGCUAAUACCGGAUAGGAGCUCCUGCUGCAUGGUGGGGGUUGGAAAGUUUCGGCGGUUGGGGAUGGACUCGCGGCUUAUCAGCUUGUUGGUGGGGUAGUGGCUUACCAAGGCUUUGACGGGUAGCCGGCCUGAGAGGGUGACCGGCCACAUUGGGACUGAGAUACGGCCCAGACUCCUACGGGAGGCAGCAGUGGGGAAUAUUGCACAAUGGGCGGAAGCCUGAUGCAGCAACGCCGCGUGCGGGAUGACGGCCUUCGGGUUGUAAACCGCUUUCGCCUGUGACGAAGCGUGAGUGACGGUAAUGGGUAAAGAAGCACCGGCUAACUACGUGCCAGCAGCCGCGGUGAUACGUAGGGUGCGAGCGUUGUCCGGAUUUAUUGGGCGUAAAGGGCUCGUAGGUGGUUGAUCGCGUCGGAAGUGUAAUCUUGGGGCUUAACCCUGAGCGUGCUUUCGAUACGGGUUGACUUGAGGAAGGUAGGGGAGAAUGGAAUUCCUGGUGGAGCGGUGGAAUGCGCAGAUAUCAGGAGGAACACCAGUGGCGAAGGCGGUUCUCUGGGCCUUUCCUGACGCUGAGGAGCGAAAGCGUGGGGAGCGAACAGGCUUAGAUACCCUGGUAGUCCACGCUGUAAACGGUGGGUACUAGGUGUGGGGUCCAUUCCACGGGUUCCGUGCCGUAGCUAACGCUUUAAGUACCCCGCCUGGGGAGUACGGCCGCAAGGCUAAAACUCAAAGGAAUUGACGGGGCCCCGCACAAGCGGCGGAGCAUGCGGAUUAAUUCGAUGCAACGCGUAGAACCUUACCUGGGUUUGACAUGGAUCGGGAGUGCUCAGAGAUGGGUGUGCCUCUUUUGGGGUCGGUUCACAGGUGGUGCAUGCCUGUCGUCAGCUCGUGUCGUGAGAUGUUGGGUUAAGUCCCGCAACGAGCGCAACCCUUGUUCACUGUUGCCAGCACGUUAUGGUGGGGACUCAGUGGAGACCGCCGGGGUCAACUCGGAGGAAGGUGGGGAUGACGUCAAGUCCUCAUGCUCCUUAUGUCCAGGGCUUCACGCAUGCUACAAUGGCUGGUACAGAGAGUGGCGAGCCUGUGAGGGUGAGCGAAUCUCGGAAAGCCGGUCUCAGUUCGGAUUGGGGUCUGCAACUCGACCUCAUGAAGUCGGAGUCGCUAGUAAUCGCAGAUCAGCAACGCUGCGGUGAAUACGUUCCCGGG
rnacentral:rRNA from 1 species